rnacentral:misc_RNA from 1 species
CUUCCUCCCAAUUUGCUGUCGUUCUAAUUUAUUUCCAUCCUUUGAGGGAUAACGGCUAACGGUGAUCUGCCACCACGAUCUCAAUGUAUCUCCCGCCCCCUUUCUCCGGACUAAAUUGAAAACAGCUGUCAAACACUCCACACAGCGCAAUGCAGUCAGACUCCCUUUCUUGCAAAAACCUUUGCUGGUCAUACUCCGUCUCCACUCCACCCACUACCCAUUUAACAAAAAUCCUCAAAGAACUUAGCUUUCACUCAGACUCACAACUUCUCACUAUCCAGUCAUCGAAAUUGAGUUCCGACUUGGUGCCAGUGG